rnacentral:rRNA from 1 species
CGUUGAAUACGUUCCCGGGUCUUGUACACACCGCCCGUCAAGUCACCUGAAUUGUCUUCACCCGAAGCCCGUGGCCCAACCGUAAGGAGGGAGCGGUCGAAGGUGAGGGGGGUAAGGGGGACU